rnacentral:misc_RNA from 1 species
CAAGAACAGUGAAUUACUGCAAAAUCUAAGAUACCAUCCAAAACAAUUCAAUACAUCAAAUGACCAAAAAUCAUGAGUUGAAGUGCAUUGUUGUUCUACAAAUUUAAAAAAGUCCACGAUGCAUUUGUAUACCUCAUUAAGUUCCGUGUUGGCAUACAUGCAUUGCCCUCUAUCACAAAGGAAGAAACCAAAAGCCACAAAUAAAAACCUUGAAUCAGACAUAUUGUACCACAAGUUUUGCCUUAAAUGACCUUUUCUUGGUCAAGCAGGUACCAGGCACAGACCUGACUACCCAAAUUGAAGAUAUGAUCAAUACAAAUGAAGCAACAAAAGUAUCAAAAGUUCAUAAAUUUGAUAGAUAGCAGUUUUCUGAAGGGAGUUCAGACAUUUGACAGACAGCAGGCAUGUUAUUCCAUGCACAAGAACUAAGCCCCCAUCCUUGAUUUGACGUGGAAGCUCCAGCAGACAUUUGCUUAUAAUCACUACUCAAAUCAUCACCAAGAAAGGUUGCUAUGUUAUCCAUCAUAACGACUUGGUCCUUAAUAUAACCAGAACCCUGUUCAAGCCAAUCAGAAGCAAGUAAAGCAUCUGGGCGAGUGAUGUCCAACCGAUUAGUGGUUUCUUUCUCUCUUUCUGGACUCCAAGCUUGAUCAGUCAGUUCUGAUUUUACAUUGCAACCAGUGAACUUCUCAGUAGCUGGUGGUUCAUCCAAAGAACUUCCACUGGUACUUAUAGGAGUACACUCACUGAAAAGGGAAGUUGCAGUAUGACCCAAUGGGGAAAGGUGAUCACCAUAGUCUUCCCAUUCUGCCUUGCAAAUAUUCAGGGCAGAACUUUCAUCAAGCUCACCAGGAGUAACAGUAGAUGAAUUUGAACUCUUUUCAGAUGAAUGAUUCUUUGCACUGCUUAGAGUUUUAGCCUCAUGAAGUAAAGCAUCCAAUAGGCCACUAUUACGCGGAGAAGACUCAACUGCCCCUGCAGGUGGAGACUGGAUAAACGUGUCAACAGUUUCAAGUAAAGGUGGUGGGGAUGUCAACCAGCUACCUAAAUCAUUUUCUGGAUAUUGGAGUGAAGGGAGCUCCAUCUUCACAAGCCCAGAGGUGGGCUUAGAAGCAGAGAAAUUGCCAUUUGCAAAGGUAUGGCUGCCUUGAUUGUCACCAAAGGACUGUGCGUUCUUGUUGGUGGGAUCAGGAUCAAAUGGAAAAGACAACCCAAAGGAUUGAGCAACUUUAUCACAAGAAUUAUCCUGAAACUGGUCAAAGAGAGGGAAUUCAGGUUUUACACUGCAACCGUAACCAGGAAUUAAGGUUGUUGAUUCUCGAAGACGCUUUUGGCAAUGCAUUGUUGGUGACAUGAAACUACCAUAUUGAGAAGAACCAAGACCUUUCAUUAGUAUGCUGCUUGCAGUGAUAUCAGUAAGUUCAGGGACAUAUGAUGAGAUGCUAUGGUUAGCCUUUAAACUGUCAAAAAUAACAUCAGGUAUCUCAUAACUGUUGGUUUGAAAAAGAUCUUGAUGACCUUUGUCCCCAGUAUUGAUUCCACUAAUGUUCAGGCCUCGUUGGCUCUCCUGCAAUGCUUGCAAAGAGACUUCAGGAGGAUAGAGAGGCAACCCAGCCCGUUGACGCCUCUUAAUUCGGGUGUUCCAGUAAUUCUUUAUCUCAUU